GUACUCGCAUCGGCGGUACAUAUACUAAAAUUGGAACGAUACAGAAAAUAGUAUGGCCAGUGCGCAAGGAUGACCCGUAAAUCGUGAAGCGUUCCAUAUUUUU
rnacentral:snRNA from 1 species